ACACCCUUGUUACACGAUUUUUACUCUUUUUGCGCGAGUUAAGGGUGUUAAAAUGGUGUUAAAAGACGUCAAUGAUGGUUUUGAGAGAAAGGCUAUACUACCAUCACUAGUGUUUUAGAAGGCACGAAGGAAGCACACACUGACGAGAUAUAGUGUUUAUGGCAGGCCAAAGUCAGAUGUGUGCAAUUAGCUUCGUUUCGUUAUUUUUCUUUUUUCCAAGAGGUAAACAGGCGUCAGUCCCCUGGCGGAAAACCCCGCCAGGGGACCGACGCACGUUGGAGUCGGUGGGCGGCAAGCCAAGCCAAGUCAAGGCCGUCGGCGCGGCGUGCGUUUUGGUUCGUCUGGUAUGGUGAGGCCGCGUCCGUUACAGUGAGAUAGAGCUUGUUUUUCAGCAAAGAUGACAGACGUAGCGUGCCUAGUUGUGGUGCUUCAUGCGGACAUUAGACAAAAGUGCCUGCUUGAAGAGGACACUCCACCUGCUUUGAGGAGUGCUAUCUCGGCUUCGAGAAUUUUGGCGUCAUACGUGAACGCCACUGACAGGAUUCAGGUUCGGGAUAGCGACUUCAGUGGGUGUUGAAUUUGCGGAGGGCGAUGAGAUAAUGCAUACGGCGACAGUACCCGUCUUGCAACCUCACCGCCAGGAACGCUCGAAGGAUUCAACCUCCUUGCUGUCCACGCCCUGCGAAUACUGGGUUCGUGCGUGAAGGGUUCCGAAGCAAUAAAGAACAUGUUUGUGCAUUAUGAUACACCUGUGCCGGUGACACCGUGCAUCAUGUUCACUGGGAGCAGCAUUGAAGAAGCGGAGCAUAUGGACCUCUAUGUCGGCGAGUAGCGCCUUCUCAGAACCAUCAACCUUGAAGAGGGAUUGGCUGCCAUUCUUGCAGCUAUUGGUUAAUUCAUAUUGUCUACAGUGCAAAGCCGCACCGUACAUUUUGAAGCCUGGAAGAGCGGUGCCUGAAAGUGAGUGACUCUCGUGUAAGAAGCCCCGUGGAUCAAUUUUUUCAACAGUUACGGAAAAGAGCUUGUGGAUGCUUCGAACAUCUAAAACAUUUGCUACUUUA